AAAUAAGAGAAGAAACA
rnacentral:sRNA from 1 species